AAGGACACUGAGAAAUACCUUCUAUCAAGGGGAUACCAAUGAAGGAGAAAUAAUGAAAAAAGGUCAUACAGCUAGAAAAAGAUGCAGACUACAUUGUCAUGAAAGAGAAGGAUGGUCUAGUAAAAGGGGCUUCAAAAGAACCGCCUGGAGAACUUGUAUGUGUCCCAAAGAGUCUGAACGUCAGUCAAUGGAAGUCUGAUUCAAGCCUGGGAGACAGUGACCGCUUGCCCGAGACAGCCGAUCCGAGGGAAGGGGAUGCACUGGGAAUGCUCUGCUCUUCCUUUGAUGACACUCGCUGAAAGUCAUCUCAGAAAAGACUUUGCCCACGAAGCCUAGCUGCAGGGCUCUGGGCUCCAACAGUGAGAGCCUAGUGAGGCAGACCUCACAGAGUGAAGUACAAGCAAGAAUCCCCUUGUGGUGUCCUAUCAUUCAAGCUGCAGCUCACAAAACCUGAGAGCUGGUGUCAGAAGCUGCUGGGCCCAUACCACAAACACUUCUCUUGAAUAUUCCCGGGAAGUCUCUAAGAAAACAUAAAAAUGUUCUGCAAAAGGCUGAACUUAAAUAUCUGCCAAGCACUGGCAGCUAAACACGACAGCAGUGGCCACAUAAGUGGCCACAGGUCCUUUCUCUUGUUCUUCUCUCCUUCUCUCACCAACCCUAGAUAGGUCAGAGACCACGGUAACCUAGAGGAGAAGAAAUACAAAAGCGAGAUGGAGAAAUAGAGCAGAAGUCUCCCACGAUCCCUUACCCCAUUGCAGCCUUCCUGGAGUAAAUUAGGGGAAGGGAAAAAAAGAUGUGACUUGUAACAAACAUGUUUUAUGUUUUGAUAAUUACCCUGAACAUUAAGAGUAUUCUUAGAUGGAAAAUAUCUGGAGGACUUUUUAUUAUGCAAGAGUGAUGAGAAAAGCUAUGGUACCUGCCUAAUUUCGAUUUCUAUACUUGUCACAGACUGAUAGCAGUUUUUAGGUCAAUAUUGGUCCUCAGACCACACUGUGAAUAGUACGCCUUUGCUUCAUUCUGCUUCCUCUGCCUGCAGUUCCUUUUUUUUGACUCACACAGCAAAUCUAAAACAUUACA
rnacentral:lncRNA from 1 species